AGGGGCAGCAUGGUCUUAGCUUGCUAAGGCUGAUGGCGACCGGCGCACGGGUGAGUAACGCGUAUGCAACCUGCCCGAUACCGGGGUAUAGCCCAUGGAAACGUGGAUUAACACCCCAUAGUACUUUUAUCCUGCCUGGGAUGGGAGUUAAAUGUUCAAGGUAUCGGAUGGGCAUGCGUCCUAUUAGUUAGUUGGCGGGGUAACAGCCCACCAAGACGAUGAUAGGUAGGGGUUCUGAGAGGAAGGUCCCCACAUUGGAACUGAGACACGGUCCAAACUCC
rnacentral:rRNA from 1 species